UCCGCUCCGCUGCCGGGCCUCCAGCGAGCUCCGCGCGUCCGGGUCCGGGAGGGAGCCAAGGGCUCCCUGGUUCAAAGGGCCGCAGCCCAAGGGGAUGCCCUCCUCGUGUGCCCUGGGGUGCAGAAGCAGACUGCAGGGCGGUGGGACCAGCCUGGGCCACGAAAAGGAGUUCUGGGAUUGGAGCGAGGACCUAGAAGUUGGGAAGAAACCCACGACAGGGCAACACCUGCUACAUGCUCCCUGUAUGGCCAGCACAUCCUUUGCCCAAAAGGUGGUAUUACUCCCAUCGACUUCCUAAACUCUUCAGGUGUUGAAGACACACGCACAAUGUCUGGGGGACUCUGGAACCCACCAACACCCUCCCUUAGAGUAUCCUAGAGUGACUUCUGAAGGGGUUGGCCAGGGAUAUGGAAAUAAUUUUUGGACAGUUUGACUCCCUGAAGAAAUAGAUGAAGCGGUUUGGUAACUAAACCAGGUGAAAGCUCUCUGGAUACUGACAUAGGAAUCACUUAACAUUUUUCUUUCCUUACGUCCUUCCUCAAGCCCACUCAGACCAAAGAGUAAAAUAGGGGUCCUUUAUCUGAGGACUGCUUCUCAACAGAGUAUAGUUGGCAGUUUUGUUGGUCCAGAACUUUCUCACAACCGAGCUCCUUAUUCAGGGCGGGACAUAGGUCAGGAUUGAGAUCUCUGCUCCCGGGCUGUCUAGGGAUGCUAGUUCGCUACCUGAGGUGCUGCCUGUGGAGCAGCUAGUUCUCUGUAGCCGGCCCUGCAGGAGUUAAAGCCCCAGACAGACAAAAGCGAGGCUGCCGCAGCUCCUUUUCUCGGCUGUCAGUUGCAAAUAGAACCGCUGCCCUCUGUACUUUAACUCCCGACAGAAAGGGCAUUUUAUUACAGGCUAUGACAAGUUGUAGGGAGACCGCGGAGAACUCAAUAAGAAGAAGCGGCGAGUGGAAUCAAAAACCCUCGGAAUGUUUGGAAGACUGAGCGAAGAUGGCUCCAAAUGAUAGGUGUGGGCAGGACUGGAGGUCGUGGCUGCGGGCUGGGCGGGGUGGGAGCCGCGCGGCGACACUGCCCGCCCCGGAGGCACGGGAUGCACCCCUGGCCUCCGGCGGCCGUGCUGCCGACGCCCAGAGCCGGCGGGCUGCCCCAGCACUCUCUCGGUAGCCGGCAGCUGCAGCUGGUUGCCCCAGAAAAGGCUAGUCCUACCCCUUCCUCAAAUUUGCAACUUUGUGUGUUUUUCAUUGGCAGGCGGGAAAUGGACGCUUCCCUCUCCCGAGAUGGUUUCUUCCUGGUCCUCUGUGAGAAGCUGUCUGCCUGCGAUCAGCAUUUUGCAAACUUCUACUAGACUUUAUUAGAGUUUUCCCCCACCUCUCUUCCUCUGAGUUCCCCUCUUCUCACGAAGUUAGCACGGGAGGGGGAAAGUGAUACCAGCGAAGGGAAGAGACAUAUUCUCUGCCCCUACCCCGCUUGCUGCUUAGUAAAGUGGCCUCAGUCUGAGCUACCCAGGGUCUCUCUAGGAACUGCUGUCUGAGAGAGGGGGAGCAUAUCCUCCUCCCUACCCGCCCCCAGCAAUUCUGUAGGUGCUUUUAACAACCUCUCUCCCGGUGCAAAACAGUGCUGCGUAGAAACUGUGCAGACCGGUAGAACUGCUCUUCCCUAAAGUGCGGUAGUGGGGACCCCUACUAGAAAAUAAACACCCCAGCUAGGGGUGGACCUUAUAGAAUUCAGGUUGAUUUGAGGAUGCCCCCUCAGUUGGAGAGUGCUGGAGAAGGGACUUGCGAGGAACCUUGUAAUACAAAAGGUGAAAUAUGUUUAUCACAACUCCGUGCUCAGAAUCCUUGCCAAGAAAGGCAGAGUUGGUAGUUGUCAAAGCCAGCUGUGCCUCCUGCCCCCCCCCCAAACUCAUUUGCUUGAAGGGUCCAGCUCAGCUGAAGCCCCAAAUAGACAAACAGUAAUACUCAGGGCACUGUGCAAAUGGUUACAAAGAAACUGCAGCUCCCUCUCCCUCUUAAAAAAAAAAAAAUCCAUGGAAGUAAAAGCACGAGCAAUCUUAAAUAAUUCCAUAAUCGAGACAGAAAGAGCAGAUACACUGUAGAUUCAUAGCUUAGGGCACAAAUGCUUCCAGGCUUCCUGUGUCCUGCUUGGUAAAAAAACAAACAAACAAAACUAAACUUAGCUGAAGCUUUUAGGUUCUUCUUUAACUGGAGAAGUGGUAAGAAUCAUAGGUUUUAAAAGUUUGUGGUUUCAAAAAAGACCAGAUCUUGGAAACAUUUUGCCAGAUUCCCACCCCUUGCAAACAAAACAGUGCCUUCUAACUUUGUUUUCUCAACUUUCUUUCUCAAAUCACCCCAAGUUUUUUUGGUUUCUUCUUCUUCUCAGAACUUGAUGCGUUUUCCUUUGUUUCUGUGGAAGUGUUUCUCACUUGGAUAAAUAUGAAUUAUCUGUACUCUCCCUAGAGCUUUGCCACUCACUUGAAUCAGCGUGGAGCAGAUCCCCACCUCUAAGGUCUGACAACGGUCGGUUGGAGAAGGUUAGAAGGUUCCUGUGGCUAGGGCUGAGUCUGAAACAAUGCCCUGGUUAUCCAUUGUGUGCUGAAUAACUACCACAGAAAUAGAUAUUAAAAUUAAAUAGCCACAAAACUAAGAGGGUGGGGGUAAACAUACCACAAAACAUGAUUUUUACUAACAAGGAAGUUAUAAGGUGAAUGAAUGUAAAGGGUGCUACUUCUUCCUCUGCAUGGUAUAAGACUAGCGAUAACUGGACCAUGAAGAGAAAACUUUGCUUCUCUUCUCCCCUGUUAUUUUGUUAGAAAUCUUUCAGAACUGAACAAAUGCAGAAUGUUUGUUCUCAAAAAAAAAGUGUGCUUACUACUGCCGAAUAAAUCUUUAAAAGGCUGUGGUUCUUCUCAUUAAAUAAGUAGCAUAUGAAAUAAUUUUUAAAAACUCUGUCAAAAAAGUUCCUUCAAUAUUUUGGUUUUGAAAUGGUUGUGAGGGGAACAAUGUAAACGAAAUUACUUCCUCGGCAUGGUCCGCGUAAAAGUGAAUCCUGAAAUAUCACAGAGAGGAACAGGGGCCAUAGAGCAAUGUGAGCCAGGCUGGGGUUGUACUCCCUGACCCUCUGUGCAUCUAGGAAAGGCAAAGGGGCACCUCCCUCUUCAUAGUUUUCCUUCCCUCUUUCAAUAUGGAAUCUUGUUUCAAUUGAUGCUUCAGAAUAAAACUCCAGUGCA